UUCACUUCCUCCUCUAAUCAUGGCAUUUCACUCCCUCAUCUCUCUCUCUUUACUCAAAUUAGGGUUCAGAGCUCUCGCUGAUUCGAGCUAUGAAGGUUGAACCAGCGAGCUUUAGUCCCCUUCUCUCUCCCUCGUUAAUUACUCCCCUGUCCAUUGAAGCAGCUCGACCAAAUUAUAUUUAUGUCAGGUCGUUAGUAAAGAAAAUCAAUGGCAUCAAAGGGUAAUGUUAAUGGAUGACGUAAGAAAAGUAAGAAAGGACCUGAUAAUCUUCCGGCAGGUCAAUAUACACCACCACCACCUGUUACCACAACUCUUCAACCAGCUACUACAAAUCUUCCUCCUCCUCCUAGAUCAACUAUUCCACUACCAAAUGCAUUUUUCAUGCCCCCACUAUCUGAAUAGUUCUACACAUCUUCUUCCUAAAAUAGUCCGCAUAGUAGCUCUUCAUCUGUUCCUUUGACAUCAUCCAUACCAAGCCUUUUUGGAUUGAGAAUUUGAGGUCCUAACACAUCAACUUCUCCAUCCAUUGAUAGUGCUACAACAUCUAAUGCUAUAACAGCUGCUUCUCAGAAUCUACAAUUUAAAAGAGGUAUUAGAAUAUGACAAGUAUGAGAGGCUACGAAUUGUUCCUGAUGGUGAUAGGUUCAUUCCAACAUAUGCCGGAGGGCAUACGGUUAUAGAAACAAUUAAACUAUUUUUCAAAAAGCCAUGGAAUUAUUGGUUAGAGAUUCCAUAUGAAAUUAGAAUUGACAUGUGGAAACAAUUUAAGACAGUGUACAUGAAGUGAUUGUUAUGAUAAUGAAAUAGAUUGCAUUUUUUGAUUGAAAGAAGCUCUAUGGAUCAACGAAUACUUGUAUGAGGCCCGAAUGGAAUUGCAACAACCUAGUUGGGUGAAUGAUGAAGUGUGGGCUAAGUUCUUGGAAUUAUAGGACACUCCUGAAUAUAAGGUGAAGCGGGAACGGGGAAAGGCAAAUUGAGUCUCUGAAACUGGUGGCUCAUUGCACAUCAGAGGUUAGAUGAGUUUCGUUACCAACCGAUGAAGACUGGAAGGAUUUCAAAAAAGCAUUGAAGAUCACCAUCAAACCCAACCUGCUUUAGAGGAUGAUACCAUGGUCCAACCAUCGCCUGUUGAUAUGAAUAGAAUAUGGAUAGCUGUGGUAGGUAUUCAAAAGAAAGAAAAAACCCACGGGGUUGGAGUUAACCAAUCCUCGAGUAGCUCUUCCCAAUGUUGCCGAACUCCACUUCUAUUUCACAAAAUACGGAUGAAAUGGAAGUGAUGAAAAAGCAAAUUGAAGAAUUGAUGCAACAGUGUGCAGUUAAUGAUGCCAAAUUUUCCAAGUUUGCUAAGUUUGAGUAGUUUGUCAAGAAGCAUAUGCCUCAAGUAUUUGAUGAUGGGAAAGAUAGUGAAUCGGAUGAUUUGAUUGUAAUUGUUGGUUCUUAUUUAUGAUUGUGACAUUUAGACUUAAGCUAUUAGAAUUGGUGUUAAUUUGGAUUGUGAUAUUUAGACUUAAACUUGUCUUGAAAUGUUUAAACUAUUUGACUCGUUGAGUUUUUUGGAUGUUUCAAAGUGGUUGAAUUUUUAA